rnacentral:antisense_RNA from 1 species
AGUAACCGAAUAUUGUCGUGGGGUUUAAAUUCGGGUGACUAAUUAGGUGUACAUUUCCUAGUGUGGUGUCAUAAAUUCCGCCCACAAACAUCGCUUUUAUUACUAGCAAAAAUGCGCCUAAACCCAGAAUAAUCAAGUGAUGACCUAAGAUUAAACCUAACUGCUUAGGAUCAUUCCA